rnacentral:snRNA from 1 species
GGAUGUGAGGGCGAUCUGGCUGCGACAUCUGUCACCCCAUUGAUCGCCAGGGUUGAUUCCGCUGAUCUGGCUGGCUAGGCGGGUGUCCCCUUCCUCCCUCACUACUCCAUGUGCAUCCCUCCCGAAGCUGCGAGCUUGGUCGAAGAGGACGACCUUCCCUGAUAGAGGAGGACCGUUCUUCGAUCAAGGGUAUAUGAGUAGCUGCGCUCCCCUGCUAGAACCUCCAAACAAGCUCUCAAGGUCCUUUACAUUUAGAUACACAAACUGCAUGCAUUAACUUCUGCAUUUGAAACCCUCGGGACAAUACAUGC